rnacentral:rRNA from 1 species
UACGUAGGGCGCAAGCGUUGUCCGGAAUUAUUGGGCGUAAAGAGCUCGUAGGCGGUUUGUCGCGUCUGCUGUGAAAACCUAAGGCUCAACCUUGGGCUUGCAGUGGGUACGGGCAGACUAGAGUGCGGUAGGGGUGACUGGAAUUCCUGGUGUAGCGGUGGAAUGCGCAGAUAUCAGGAGGAACACCAAUGGCGAAGGCAGCACUCUGGGACGUGAACUGGACGCUGAGACGCGAAAGCGUCGGGGAGCAAACAGG